AUGAAGGCCUUAGGGUCGUAAAGCUCUUUCGCCAGGGAUGAUAAUGACAGUACCUGGUAAAGAAACCCCGGCUAACUCCGUGCCAGCAGCCGCGGUAAUACGGAGGGGGUUAGCGUUGUUCGGAAUUACUGGGCGUAAAGCGCGCGUAGGCGGAUCAGAAAGUUGGGGGUGAAAUCCCGGGGCUCAACCCCGGAACUGCCUCCAAAACUCCUGGUCUUGAGUUCGAGAGAGGUGAGUGGAAUUCCGAGUGUAGAGGUGAAAUUCGUAGAUAUUCGGAGGAACACCAGUGGCGAAGGCGGCUCACUGGCUCGAUACUGACGCUGAGGUGC
rnacentral:rRNA from 1 species